GUUUUUAAUGUGGUGGUGACACCACUGUUUGAAUGUGUGGAUGGUGAAGGGAAGAAAAUGCUGAUAACUUGGCUGAUUUCUUCCUUGGAGCCUAUAUACAGUUAUUUUAAGGUCCUGGAGCAUACAAUUCCGUGAUGAAGUCAGAUUCCCACAUAUCUGCAUUCGAUUCCAAAGUGGAGCAUUUUAACGAACCAAAAGAGACCAUCCCUGGCCCUGGAGCAUAUCAGUCACUGGUAACAUUCCUCAGAGGUGCUGGAGGCAUUAGGAUAACAUCUGAAAGCAAGAGGAAAAAAAAAAAAACAAACUAACCAUCUAACCAUGAAAAGAGCACAGAGUCUUCUGGAAUGAGACACACCCACAAGAUAGAUGUACUCAUACACUUCUGUUAAAGAAGGCAAGCAAGCCCUUUUGGAAUUAAUAAGCAUUAGCAAUAUCUCACAGUGGGAGAAAGAAGCCCAGCUGUCAACUUUUCAGUGGGAUAUCUACAGUUCAGAGCACAUCAGUCCACAGUCAGUGUUCAUUUUCUGAAGAAAUUUCAUCU